UCCAGCACUCCACAGCCUAAAGGUUCUCAGCAGCAUGUUCCUGAAAACCCCGCCAUUUCGUCCUGCUGGAAAAGGAAAACUGAAGGCGGUACCUUCCUUGAAGAUGUUAGGGGGCGCAUCGACGAGUUCAUCCAAGCUUCCAUGGACGAGCGCAAGGCCUGCUUCACGAAGACUCUUCAGAAGGUAUCUGUGCUAGCACUGAAAUUGGGACAUUUUACGGUGCAUCAUACUACUGCCGCCUAUUGUGGGUAG
rnacentral:rRNA from 1 species